rnacentral:rRNA from 1 species
GGUGUGAAGGUGCUGCAUGGUUGUCGUCAGCUCGUGCCGUGAGGUGUCGGCUUAAGUGCCAUAACGAGCGCAACCCUUAUCUUCAGUUACUAACAGGUGAUGCUGAGGACUCUGGAGAGACUGCCGUCGUAAGAUGUGAGGAAGGUGGGGAUGACGUCAAAUCAGCACGGCCCUUACGUCCGGGGCUACACACGUGUUACAAUGGGGGGUACAGAAGGCAGCUACCUGGUGACAGGAUGCCAAUCCCAAAAACCUCUCUCAGUUCGGAUCGAAGUCUGCAACCCGACUUCGUGAAGCUGGAUUCGCUAGUAAUCGCGCAUCAGCCAUGGCGCGGUGAAUACGUUCCCGGGCCUUGUACACACCGCCCGUCAAGCCAUGAAAGCCGGGGGUACCUGAAGUACGUAACCGCAAGGAGCGUCCUAGGGUAAAACUGGUAAUUGGGGCUAAGUCGUAACAAGGUAGCCGUACCGGAAGGUGCGGUUGGAUCACCUC